ACCAGGUGUUGGGCUUCAAGGUGCUGGAAGCAGCACAGCAGCUUCCACACAGAUCAGGACUUCCCGCCUUACACGGUGAAAUGCUAGCCCAGACCCAGACAUCCGGAAAUCCACACCUUCGUUUCACAAUCUACAAUCUACCGCUGUGCUGGGAUUCACCUGCGUCAGAAUAAACCAGGUAAAUCCAGGAAAAGUUGGAUAUGGGGCCUGGCUUUCAAAUAUGGAAUUCUAAAUGAGGACAAUAUGCCUCUUCUCAGAAUCAGCAUUUUGGAAUGAAUAGGAACCUAGGAAGCCAUAGGUUAAAAAUGAAGAGAAAAUCAUGAAGAUAGUUGUGCUAUGACCUCCAAGUAGGUA